rnacentral:rRNA from 1 species
GGUUGAUCCUGCCAGUAGUCAUAUGCUUGUCCCAAAGAUUAAGCCAUGCAUGUCUAAGUAUAAACAAAUCUGUACUGUGAAACUGCGAAUGGCUCAUUAAAUCAGUUAUAAUUUACUUGAUAGUCACUUUAUCAUUGGAUAACCGUGGUAAUUCUAGAGCUAAUACAUGCAACAAGCCUGACUUGCGGAGGGCUGUAUUUAUUAGAUACAAAACUGAUGGGCCUUCGGGUUCUUGGUGAUUCAUAAUAACUUUGCGGAUCGCAUGGCCUUGCGCUGGCGACGGAUCAUUCAAA